rnacentral:tRNA from 1 species
GCGUCCGUAGCUCAGGUGGACAGAGCAGCGGUUUCCUAAACCGCGUGCCGGGGGUUCGAGUCCCUCCGGGCGCACCA